CCCUAAUUAAUUUAAUAAUAAGGAGAGAUAAUGGUGGUGAGAAGCGUCUUCCAUCUCCAUAACUAAUCUAUUGAAUCAACCCAAAAGAACAAAGUGUCUGUGAUCAAUCCCAACAACUAAAGUGGAUCCAAUACUUCAACUAGAGCUUUCUCAUUAUUGAUUACUUUUUAUUUAAUUAUUUUCUUUCCAUUAUUAUUCUCAUUAUUAGUUUACUACAAUCAAUCUCAAAACCCC
rnacentral:lncRNA from 1 species